UACGGAGGGUGCAAGCGUUAAUCGGAAUUACUGGGCGUAAAGCGUGCGUAGGCGGUUGUUUAAGUCAGAUGUGAAAGCCCCGGGCUUAACCUGGGAACUGCAUUUGAUACUGGGCAACUAGAGUUUAAUAGAGGAGAGUGGAAUUUCAGGUGUAGCGGUGAAAUGCGUAGAGAUCUGAAGGAACACCAGUGGCGAAGGCGACUCUCUGGAUUAAAACUGACGCUGAGGUACGAAAGUGUGGGGAUCAAAC
rnacentral:rRNA from 1 species